rnacentral:rRNA from 1 species
AUAACAUCGCCUCUUGCAAAAAUCAACGUAUAAGAGGUCCUACCUGCCCAGUGACUUAGUUUAACGGCCGCGGUAUUUUGACCGUGCAAAGGUAGCGUAAUCACUUGUCUUUUAAAUAAAGGCCUGUAUGAAUGGUGAAACGAGGGCUUAACUGUCUCCCUUUUCUGAUCAGUGAAAUUGAUCUGCCCGUGCAGAAGCGGACAUAAAUUUACAAGACGAGAAGACCCUAUGGAGCUUUAGACAUGAACCCACCUAUGUUAAAACCCCCUCAAUAAAGGGACAAAACAAUAUAGUAAUUGAUUAAUGUCUUCGGUUGGGGCGACCACGGGGGAAAAUUAAUCCCCCAUGCGGAACGGAGACUCUCCAAACCCCGAGGCACACCUCUAAGUCACAGAAUUUCUGACCAAAAGAUCCGGCACUAGCCGAUCAACGAACCAAGUUACCCUAGGGAUAACAGCGCUAUCCCCUUCAAGAGUCCUUAUCGACAAGGGGGUUUACGACCUCGAUGUUGGAUCAGGACAUCCUAAUGGUGCAGCCGCUAUUAAGGGUUCGUUUGUUCAACGAUUAAAGUCCUACGUGAUCUG